ACUCCUACGGGAGGCAGCAGUGAGGAAUAUUGGUCAAUGGACGAAAGUCUGAACCAGCCAUGCCGCGUGGAGGAUUAAGGCCCUCUGGGUUGUAAACUCCUUUUAUCUGGGAAGAAAUGUUUGCAUUCUUGCGAACUUGACGGUACCAGAGGAAUAAGCACCGGCUAACUCCGUGCCAGCAGCCGCGGUAAU
rnacentral:rRNA from 1 species